AUUAAAAUUAGGCAGGUACGUUAAUCUCACAUGCAACGAAUUCGAAUUCACGAAAAUGAACGAUGAAAUUUACCUGAAUGUAUCCGUUGUUCCCUCCAGCUUGACUUUCACCAAGAAACAAAUACCAACGCACAACCAUAAAAACAACCGAUGGCAGCGAAUAGAAAUUAUUUCAUAAGUAAAUUACCAGCAGUUAACGAAAAAAUCGCGAAAUUGAAACACGAAAAUAGUAUUCAUCAGCACAAACACUCGCACAAUAUCUGAACGCAACGACGAAUGAAACUAAACUGAAUUGGUGUUUGAAGUUCACCGUAUUAUACUUUGAUUGUGGCGUUCAAAUUGCUGAAGAAUUCAGAAUGGAACCAACUUCAAUUUUUCCUCGGUACAAAAGAUUGGAUGCUCAACUUCCCAC